rnacentral:ribozyme from 13 species
AUUGAUAAAGCCAAAGUUCAAUGUUUUUAGACGACGGUUGCUGGCCAGAGCAUUUGCAAAGCCAAUUAUCGCUUCGUCAUUGAUGCUGUUGCCAGUGCCAGAGAGAUCAAGCUCCUAUAAUGAAGAGUUGGGGUUUGCUAAACACCUUGAGAAGGCAACCCAUCCAGUUGAGGUGAUUGAUUGGUUUUCUUGAAGAAAAAUAUUAAACUGCUUCAGUUCGUUGUUCUUUACUAAAGCAUUUCCCAAGAUAGUUACCC